CCCUCGGUCGUCUAGUUGGUUUAUGGCGUCGGACUGUAAUGGUUAUUCAGUUUCAUCCGAAUGUCGCGCGUAAGUGCAUCCAACUAUGAAAUACUUUCUCUCAGACAGCUGUUAACAGUUGUAUAGGUUCGACUCGCGCCUGAGGGA